rnacentral:rRNA from 1 species
AUGAAACAUAAGUCUGAAACAUUUGAAAAGUUCAAGGAAUUUCAGAGCGAAGUUGAAAAUCAUCGUAACAAGAAAAUAAAGUUUCUACGAUCUGAUCAUGGAGGAGAAUAUUUGAGUUACGAGUUUGGUGUACAUUUGAAAAAUUGUGGAAUAGUUUCGCAACUCACGCCACCCGGAACACCUCAGCGUAAUGGUGUGUCCGAACGUCGUAAUCGUACUUUACUAGAUAUGGUGCGAUCUAUGAUGUCUCUUACUGAUUUACCGCUAUCGUUUUGGGGAUACGCUCUAGAGAUGUCCGCAUUCACGUUAAAUAGGGCACCA